ensembl:lncRNA
GAACCUCUCUGCUGCUUUUCUAAACCACACCCAGGACUAGUGCACAUAGUUGGACCUUCAUGGAAUAUAUGACAGCCCCUUUCCGGCUCAGUUUCCUGAUCAGCAGAAUGGUAGCUAUGCUCCCACACUCUGUGACUGUUCAGAGAGCCAUGUUCAAAUGUUCAGUAAGCCCAGGAGAACCAAGGACCCUUGAUUAGAGCCAAUGGCUGUAUGGGGAGCCAGCAGAGUUGUACUUUUGGCAAUUUUUACAGCAGAGAACAAACAAGAGCUGCCCAUUGCUUCAGCCCAUUCACCUCUGAGAAGCUCAGGAUACCCACGUGGUAUGGGAGAGACGGUCCUAUGAUCGAGAGGCAGCCAGGGUCUGGAGCCCAUUUGGCCAUUAGAUAUCCUGCCCCAGCCCCUUCCCGGAGUGGCCCAGGGAACUCGUGGACAGCUGCUGAGGAACAGAAGAUGACCAGAGCUUGGCUCCAGCAUCUCCCAGGUGCCAGGUAUUUUAGAUACAGUACUCAUGAAUCCUCAAGACCUUCCUGUGAAGAAAGGAUUAUGAUCUUCACUUUAUUAUUUUUUAAAGACUUUAUCUGACAGAGCACAAGCAGGGGGAGCAGCAGAGGCAGAGGGAGAAGCAGGAUCUCCACUGAGCAGGGAGCCCAGUGGGGGCUCGAUCCUAGGACCCUGAGAUCAUGACCUGGGUAGAAGGCAGAUGCUGAACUGACUGAGCCACCCAGGCGCGCCAGUGACCUUCACUUUAGAUGGAAUCCCUCAGCUCCUGGACUCAUCCACCUACUCAGUGUCUGAGGAUGUCAAGUGUUAAGUGGCUUGCCUAAGGACACUCCAUCUGAAAUGUAAAAGCAGGGAGUAAGGUCCAAUCUACCUGACUCCAGACUGUUGUCUCUUCUGCACAACUCCUGGGAAUUUCCUCUGUGAUGGAUUAAUUAGUUCAACCAAUUCUUUGUGAUUCUCUUGUAAGGGAACACAAUGAUACAGAAGAUACACUGGUGGCUCUCACUGUUUGUAUGCCCAGGUGACUGAUUUGGGUCUUUUCAAGAAACUUAGUGAUGAGCCAAGCAUCUAUUUGGAUAAAGUACCCUCCUAGGCUAGUGAGGGACACAGAGGUAGGGUGGGGGAUGAAAGAGUUGAGAAUGAUGAGUCAGGUGCAGGCCCAGCCUUGGUGUUAGGUCGGUUUUAGUCUAUACCCUGAAAGAUACCCAGUGUUUCACUUGUAUCAAGAAAGGAGAGAACGUAGACUGUUGAGAGCACUUUGCCCACCCAGGAGAAUGAGCCUAAAAGAGGCAAAGAAUAUUGAGAGCAACAUGCAUAUCCAAUGUAAACUUCAGUCAAUCCCCUUCUUUCUAUGGGACUCUCUCUCCCUUUCUCUGCCUGGUGAAAUCCUAUUGUCCAGUGAGCAGAAUCAAAGUGUGUUCAGACACAGGAGGAUGAUGAACUGCAUUCCGGUCAAGGGAGACUGUAUGUGAUAGAGCCUAGGAGCACAAAGAACCUGUGCUUUUGUGCAUUUGUAUCAGUUAGCUUUUCCCUCUGUAACAAGCCAGUCCAAAACUUAGUGACUUAGCAACCAACAUUUAUCAUUUCUUAACAUAUUUUGUUGGGCUGCUGAGUUAUUCUGGUCUGAACCAGCUUAGCUGUAGCUGCAUUGUUAGGAUGGUAUUACCUGCAUGUUUUGUUCUCAGCCAGGCUCCCCUCCUAUGUGGGCCUUAUCCACAAGGAAUCUAGCUGGGCUUUGUGAGCACAGUGGCAGAAGGUGCACACAGCAAAAAUGGAAGGGCAAGCCCAACGCACCAUACUUUUUUCCAAGCCUUUGCAUGCUUCAUAUUUGCUAAUGUCCUAUUGACCAAAAAGAGUUACAUGGCCAACUAAGAUACAAUGGGUAGAGAAAUCAGCUUCCCUUCUUCGUGGAAGGAGCUACAAGUCACCCUGCAGGAAUGGAAGAACCUGUGGGUGAGAAAUCUUGUGAUGUUUGUGCAUAUGGCAGGUGGUAGUGAGGAGGAGACAAAAGCACAUCCUGAUGGGCUUUGAAUGCCAAAUAAGUGGAUUCCAACUUUGUUCUGUAAGAGAUAGGAGUCCAAUGAAGGGAUUCAAGCAGAGGGGUGAAUACAGAGUCAGCUUUGCAUUUUAGGAAGCGCAUUCUCAUGGCUGUUGAGAAGGCUGGUUGGGAAGGAGGUAAUAUUCAAAGCAAAGAACCGAGUUGUUCAUCCAUAAUUCAGGAACAGGGAGCCAAGGCCUGCACUAAGACUGUGUCACUGAGCUCUCUGAAGGUGGAGCCAUGACCUGCUUAUGUUUUCAGCCCCAGUGUCCAGCACAGUGCCUGGAUUAAAGCAGGGGGUCAAUGAAGACUCAAAUGAAUGUUGGAAGACUACAUCCUGUGGGUUGUCAGAUCCUUUAGAGGUGGGGAUCCCAGAGCUCUCCUGAUAGGCAGGAACAGAUAGGGAGAAGAAUGAAUAGGUGGGUGUGACUUUUUAGAGAUUGGCUCAUUUCAGCCAAGUUGAUGAAGGCUGGGUGCCGAGUCAGAAACCAGGCAUAGAGAAUUGGGAUGCAUGUCUCUAUCUUUAAUCAUCUCCUUCAUGCCAGGGAGGUCUUCUGAGUUCACCCUGGGUAACUUACUUCAUUCAGCAGGGGCUCACCUUCCAAAUUCUAUAAAAUGGAGAUGGUAACUCCAGACACCAGGCAAUGCCCAGAAUGUAUUUUGAGGAGAAACUAUGAAAGAACCUCACUUAAAGGGCAGCCAUUACUCAUGCCUGCUCAUCAUGGUUGAGUACCAUUGGACAACCCUACCUGUGUCAAGGGCAUGCUGUGUUGGAGCAAAUCCUUUUCCUAAUGGAGCAGUUUCCCAUUGGGGACUUCCUGGCAAUGAUGCUCAAUGCUAUUGCUGUUCUGUGCUUCCAAAGCAUGUUAGUCUUCCUAAUGAGAUAAUCUACUUAAUGUCCUGGUGAUGUCAAGUGCUAUUAUGCCCAUUUCCCAGAUAAUGGAUAUCCCUUUGGAGGUGGUAGUGAUUGGCAGGGGAAGUCUUGGCAGAGGCUAGGACAGAACCCAGAAACCUGAGGGCUGAUCUCUCAAGGUCACGGCCGUUCUCUAGGAUAAACUCCAAUAAAGGCUUCUCAUGUUUACUCA